UGUUUGGAUUUUGACAUAUGGAUCGAACGUGUUGAGGUUAUCACAUGUAGAGCCCUAGAAUUUUUAACGCAAAUAUGCCGGUGUCGCUGAAAUAUCAACCAGUUUAACAUGAUUGUGUUACAAUAAUGAGUUGCAAAUCCUCAAACCGCUACCUAAUUAGUUCCAUGCUGAAAUUUUACUUCCGUACGUGACCAUUGGUUCCAUCUGAAAAGCAAUCCAACUCACAGACUGUCACUUGAAGAAGAUACUUAGAUAAACCAAGACAAAAUGGAUUGGCGGAAAUACCUUCUUGCCAUUUUGUUAUCGGUAGCUUUCGUAGCAGUGCAUGUCAGCGGAUUAGCUGUCAUGAGUAUUGACCUUGGCUCGGAAUGGAUGAAAGUUGCCAUUGUUUCGCCUGGUGUGCCAAUGGAAGUUGCUUUGAAUAAAGAAUCGAAAAGAAAAACUCCUGCUGCAAUAUCAUUUAGAAAUGAAGAAAGGACAUUCGGAGAUGAUGCCUUAAACGUCGCUGUGCGGUUUCCUGAUCUUAGUUACCAUUAUUUGCUAGAUCUCCUCGGAAAAUCUAUCGAUAAUCCUGUAGUGCAGCUUUACAAGAAAAGAUUUCCUUUCUACAACUUAGAGGCAGAUCCCAAUAGAAGCACAGUUCUCUUUAAGCAUCCCUCCGGCAAAUCUUACAGCCCAGAAGAACUUGUAGGACAGCUCUUAUACAAAGCGCAGGAAUAUGCACAAAACUCUGCUAAUCAAGUUGUCACAGAGGUUGUCUUAACUGUUCCUGGUUUUUUCAAUGAUUUUGAGCGUCGAUCUCUCAUCACGGCCGCUGAACUGGCAGGUCUCAAAGUUCUUCAGCUUAUCAAUGAUUACUCAGCAGUGGCUCUGAAUUAUGGAAUUUUCCGUCGGAAAGAAUUUGCUGAUUCGGCUCAAUAUGUAAUGUUCUUUGACAUGGGUGCAUCAAGUACUACUGCAACCAUUGUUCAGUACCAAACAGUGAAAGUCAAGGACAGAGGCAUCGUCGAAACUCUCCCUCAAGCAUCAGUCAUAGGUGUUGGGUUUGACAGAACACUAGGUGGUCUUGAAAUGACCCUUCGUCUCCGAGAUUACCUUGCCCAAAAAUUCAAUGAAAUGAAGAAGACGGACAUAGAUGUCACGCAAAACCCAAGAGCAAUGGCCAAGUUGUUUAAAGAAGCAGGAAGGGUGAAAACAGUGUUGAGUGCAAAUGCUGACCACUUUGCGCAGAUUGAAGGUCUCUUAGAAGGUAUCGAUUUCCGGCUGAAAGUCACCAGAGAAGAAUUUGAAAAACUUUGUGCUGACCUAUUCGAUCGUGUGAAAGCUCCAGUGGAAAAAGCUUUGAAGAUGUCUGGAUUAACGACUGACAUAUUGAAUGCGGUCGUUUUAGUUGGUGCGGGCACUCGUGUCCCAGCCGUCCAAGACAGGCUGAGUGCUGCAGUGAAGCGUGAUCUGGCAAGAAAUCUGAACACUGACGAAGCAGCUGUUAUGGGGGCUGUUUACAGAGCUGCAGAUUUGAGUACCGGUUUUAAAGUCCAGAAAUUCCUCGUCAAGGAUGCUGUCAUAUAUCCAAUUCAGGUUCAUUUUGACAGAGAUGGAGAUGCAAGCUCAAAACAAGUGCGCCGAACAUUGUUUGGUGCUAUGAACCCAUACCCGCAGAAAAAAGUGCUCACACUUUACAAGCAUACUGAAGACUUCUCUUUCCAUGUCAACUAUGCUGAUCUUGACCAUCUUGAUCCUUUCGCAGUCGAAGCUUUGGGUUCCCUAAACCUGACUAAAGUCAAUCUGAAAGGUGUACCGGAGGCCUUAGCGAAAUUCUCAACCGAGGGCCAUGAACUGAAAGGCAUCAAGGCUCACUUCCAUAUGGACGAUAGCGGUAUCCUCUCCCUCCCGAACGUGGAACUUGUUGCCGAAAAGACGAUCAGUGCAGAAGAGGAAUCACCACUCUCAAAACUCGGAUCGACCAUAAGUAAACUAUUUAGUGGGUCUGAAAACUCAAAAGAUAAUCCAGAUGUACGACCAGUAACGGAGGAAGCAGAGGAAAACGAGAAAGAAAACAAAACAGAACAAGCUAAGGAGAAACCUGAGUCCAAGGAGCCUCCCCCAGCGGACGGUGCCAAGAAGAACGACACAGAGAAAGAAAAGAAAGAUGCAAAGGAUGAGACUCCAAAGAAACCAAAAAUCGUCACGUUGAAAGAGCCGAUUAAAUCAGAAAUCGAAGAUCUAGGGAUCCCUGUACUUUCUGGAGAUGCCUACAAGGCGACUUCUGAGUUGAUCGAGGCCUACAAUAAAGCUGAACUUGAAAAAGCUCACCAAGAAAAAGCGUUGAAUUUACUUGAGAGUGCUGUUAUCAGUUACAAGCAAAAGUUGCAAGAUGAUGAGUUUGUUAGCUUUGCAAAUACUGAUGAAGUUGAUAAAAUCAAGGCUCGCAGUAAUGAGUUGAGCGAGUGGUUGGAUGAAGAAGGCUACAGUGCAGAUACGAAAACGCUCACAAAGAAAUUGGAUGAGUUUGACACGCUUGUGAAGCCAGUCCUAGAGAAGAAGAAAAAUCACGAGACUACACCAGAGGCAUUGGAGAAACUUGAAAACGCUAUCAACAAGACUAACACCUUCACGACAGCCAUACGGAACAUGACGGCAACUGCAGAAGGUGACCUCCCACCAUUCUACAGUGAAACCGAGAUGGAUGGAAUUGAUAAGCUUAUCACUGAUAUUCAGAAAUGGAGAGACGACACGGUGGAACAACAAUCUAAGCUAGCUCGCUCUGAUCCCCCUGUCCUAGUCACCAGGACAAUAUUCGAAAAAAUCCAGCUAAUUGAAACUGAAACCAGGAUUCUCAUCAAUAAAGUGAAAUUAUGGGAUCAGGCAAUGAAAGCAAAAUCUGCUCAAGACGCGACCAAAAAUGACACAAAGAAAGACAAAGCAGGCAAAAAGCGAUCUAAGAGCAAACAGACAGAAGGAGAACAAGCAAAAUCCGAAAAAGGCACCGCAGACAAAGAGGCAGGCGAAUCAGUGCCCGAAACGGAACCACAGGUUGAGACUCCUGUAGAAUCAGAGCCUGAACAGCCACCGCAAGAACAACCAGAAAAGGUGGCAGAACCAAGCACGCCUGAAGCAGAAUCUAGUCCGUCAACUCCCGAAACCAUGCGUGUGAAACUCACGUCGGUUCCUGAAGAUACGAAGCCAUCGUGGUUUGCCUCCUCACUUGCCGCUUUAGCAAUCCACUUGACAUUCCUGUUGCUUUAACUCGACUUCACUCCCAUCACUCAUGAUCUCAUACCGGUUACCGAAAGUUACCUGCAUUCAGACCCUCCCAAACAUGCAGAGCUGUAAGAAGCCGUUUUCAACGCCAAAAAAGUAUCUCAUCCCAACACUCGAUGCAUUUGAAGUGCUGCAGAGAAUGCGGAAGGAAGUUACUGAGCCAAAAUAGUCCUGUUUCUAAUGACUGAGAUAUAUAGAAUGCCAUCCAAUCUCAAAAUUUUGUGACUAGGAGGAAAAUAUUCAAUUUAAUUUUCUGCCAAGGUAUAUUUUUGUCCAUGGGCUGGAACAAUAGGUACCUUCAAAACGCUCUAAUUAAAAUAACUGUGAAAGGAAUAGGCCGAAGAAAAACCACAUGGCUUUCGAUUGAAACGAAGGCUUGUGCAUUUUAUCUUCUGCGAUAUUCCCACCCCGGUGAGAAAUUGCAAUCAUUUAGUUCAUAAGCUCGGAAAAUAUCAUGAAGGAGUUUUGCUACCUCAAACCUAUCAAGAUAUCAAUGGCUAAACUCAAAAACAAUGUAUCUCAAUCUGCAAUGAUGUAGAAUUCCUCUUCAUCUUAUUUUUUAAAUUAAUUAUUAAUCAACAUUAUCUCAGGAAAGUUUCCGGUUUUUUUUCUCUUUGUUUAAAGAAUAUUCUGUGAGAAUUUCAUAAAGUUAAAUCGUAAUCCUUCAGUGAAAGGGACUUAAAACUAAGGACUAGGAACUUAAAAUUUUGAAAAUUCACCACGGAUACAAAUGGUUUUUGAGUUUAGCCAUCAAUGUGGUAAUUAGUCCAUUCUUUUCCUAGUUUGGUCAGACAUGAAGAGCAAGUUUCAAAAGAUGCGCUUUGAUGCCCAAAAUGCAUCAAAGGGAAAUUUUGAAGCAGGAUUUUUUUUUCUUUAUUUUUAUCUGAUAGAUAGAUAGUCAGCUGUGCUCAAUCAAAUUAACUCUCUGAAGGCUGAAAUUAAGGUGGUGAAACAUUGAACUGAAAAGAGUAUACCGUAUAAAACUUGUCAAAAGUAUAUUUUGAUAGUGCUGUAAAAUUAAGAGUUUAAUUGCACCAGGACUGCUUUCACUCGAUCAAAUUGUGGAAUGUUCAGAAAUAGGUGGUCUCACAUCCAUUUUAAAAACCAGUGUAAAACCCUUUUCUGAUAAUUUCAGAGAAUUUAGAAAGAGUUUCACCAACAAUGCAGAAGUUUUCCAACAUAUAAUAGACUUCUUCCUCAUUUAAGAAAAAAAAGAAAGCAUCCCACAAUUUCAUAGGAUUUUUUAUUUUUUUCUUGCCUUUUCAAUGUUUAAUUUUUUAUCUUAAUAAGCUGAGGACUGGAAGACGGACCAAAUUGAUAAGAACAUGAUGACCAAACUCCGAGCUGUUUUCCCCAGUCAGUUUUUAAAGACCUUCAAGCUGUAAAGAAACCAAUAAAAAAUGUUCAUGGUUUUAAGCUUUUGAGCCCAUGCUUUCGGGAACCUAACAGUUUAAAAAUUUGAGCCAUAGCCUAAGUUUUGUACCUAUCAUCCGGAAAAUUUUCAAGAAAGUGUAUGCUCUCUCAAGCUAGGAGAGAUUCUGUAAAAAGUUACUUUUUGAAUGUCAUUGACUUGGCAAGAAGGCUCUAGGUUUUUAGGGUAACUCUCAUUAGUUUACUAUGAAUAGAUAAGAUUAUUAAACUGAUUGCAUCAGCCACUGGUCUAGCAUAUGAUAAUGUAUGUAACUGAAAAUGAAUUUUACCAAAGUAGCAUUUAGUUACAAAAUUGUAUUGUAAAUCAGAACGAUUAGCUCUACUCAUGGUAAGUUUCCUGUAAUGUAGAGCUGAUUAGACUGCAUUUUGUAAUAAGGAACUACAAUAUCUGGCUCAACGGUAAAAAACUUGGGUGCAUAGGACUAAUGGUACUUACGUUGAUUCUGAAUCAAGCCAGAAAUUGUAGUUCCUAAUUGUAAAAUAUUGUCUAAUCAUCAAUAAGAUCCCUCACAACAUAAAUUUCAGUUUGUAUUGUAUUACAGUUUACUUUAAGUGUAUGCAUGCCGUCCAAUUUUGAUGAAUGGAGAUGAGUUAGGUAUUUAAAACAGUUUGAUCUGGUGAAAAUAGUUCUACCGAAAUUGCACUCAAAUUAAAUUUUGAUCCUGUCACCCACAAUCGAUACGCAUGUGUGUAAUGUUUCCUAUUUGUCCUGCUCUCCCUUUUCAUAGACUUUGUGUUUUUGCGAUAGAGUCAACCUUGAAAAUCAGGCUCCCUUACCCAAGUUUCUUGAUCAACAGCAGAGAUGUUGCAGGAUCUGUUUGGCCGGGACUGGACCUGCUGCUCUCUCUCAUCGUAGAUCAAUCGAAAAUAACUUCUCCAAAUAAAAUAAUUUUGCACUGGAAGUAGUUCCAUCAUGGAGUAAUGAGAACUUGGACUAAUAAGUUUGCAGUUGUUAACUUCUCACCAUCACUUGCAGUAGACUGAUUCUCAUCUUUGCCCACUGCACGACAGCCUUUGUACCUUCCAUUGGAAAACAAAAGCAAGGUCCUGCCCCCUUUCAAGCUCAUAAUGAGAUGAAACUUCAAAUUGGAAACAUAAUACUUUUCAAGAAAGUUUUGUGUCACUCUGAUGUUAGUCAGUCACUUUUAAAACAAUAAUGCCCAAAUACUGAGGCAGUGCUGAUGGAAUUUAAUGGACCUCUGGAUAAGGUCUGAACCAGAAAGAACUGUUACACGCAUUCUGUUCAAAAUCUUGCGUAGAACGGACUCCCACAAUGAGACAUUCAGAGAUCAACUCCCGAUUGAAAUAUCAACACAUACAUAUUCCUCCAACACAGAUCAAGUGGAAGUAAGAUUAUAUACAUGACGUCAUUCCUGCUUUUACCUCAUAACCAAUGAUAAUAGUGAACUUUUAUAUCUCGUUCAGAAAUUAACUUUCAGACUCCUCUUCGCAGGACUCGUUUAGGUAAUUUUGGAGAGGAAACAUGUUGUGUAAUAACUGACUUCAUACUUUGUCCGGAGGCCCAGUGUGCUAAUAUUACAAGAGGCUUGCCCACCGUGAGGGCUCUCUUCAAUUCAGAUCCCUUUUUGAUACUGACUUUGAUCUAUGAACUUUUCGAAUUUGAUGAGAGGGAGGGCGAGACAUGGAAACAUUUUCUAUGCCUAGUUGCCUAAGACAGUUUAGUUAAAUUAUUCAAGUUUUCAUUGUAUAACUGCAGUAUGAUAAUAGAUCCACACAAGAUUUUAGAUAUCGGUAGUUAAGGGUUUUCUUCUGGUAAAACUUGUGAUUUAUUUUUGUUAUGUUUGCUAAGUAAACAAAAAUUUUGUAUAAACCUGUUUAUUUUUAGUUCAUUCAGUUGUUUUAUGGAUUACUUUCCUGUAGUUGUAGAAUUGUAAAUUUUUCUAGGCAAAUUUUUUAAUAUCUUUACUUAAGACUCAAGCAUGUCUUGGCAGCUCUUCGUUGGGAGAACCUGUGUCCUGUGUAUUAUAAGUUUCUUGUGAUUGAAAUAUGUUUUAAGUACUUUAAAUUAAAGGCCACUCUUUUGCUACCAA